rnacentral:misc_RNA from 1 species
AAGAAAUUUAAUAAUUUUGAAAUUGGAUUUUUUUGUUUUGGCAAGAGCAUGAGAGCUUUUACUGGGCAAGAAGACAAGAGAUGGAGAGUCCAGCCGGGCCUGCGCUUAAGUGCGCGGUCUUGCUAGGCCUUGUAAGUUUCUUUCUUGCUAUUCCAAACGGUGAGAGAUUUCUGUGCUUUUGUUAUAGGACAAUUAAAACCGUUUCAAUACAACACACUGUGGAGUUUUCAUAUCUUUGCAACUUUUUCUUUGGGCAUUCGAGCAAUCGGGGCCCAGAGGUAACAAACACAAACAAUUUUAUCUAUUCAUCAAAUUUUUGUCAAAAAACAAGAAUUUUCGUAACUGGAAAUUUUAAAAUAUUAAAAACUUUCAACAACGGAUCUCUUGGUUCUCGCAUCGAUGAAGAACGCAGCGAAAUGCGAUACGUAAUGUGAAUUGCAGAAUUCCGUGAAUCAUCGAAUCUUUGAACGCACAUUGCGCCCCUUGGUAUUCCAGGGGGCAUGCCUGUUUGAGCGUCAUUUCCUUCUCAAACAUUCUGUUUGGUAGUGAGUGAUACUCUUUGGAGUUAACUUGAAAUUGCUGGCCUUUUCAUUGGAUGUUUUUUUUUUUCCAAAGAGAGGUUUCUCUGCGUGCUUGAGGUAUAAUGCAAGUACGGUCGUUUUAGGUUUUACCAACUGCGGCUAAUCUUUUUUAUACUGAGCGUAUUGGAACGUUAUCGAUAAGAAGAGAGCGUCUAGGCGAACAAUGUUCUUAAAGUUGACCUCAAAUCAG